ACUGUGUCGAGGCUUGGUAACUCCACCACCGUUGGCGGAAUCCGACGGCCAAUGGGGUACGAGUUUCCUUCUCUCGACGCGAA
rfam:Camponotus floridanus CamFlo_1.0_4.contig5149, whole genome shotgun sequence.